rnacentral:rRNA from 1 species
UGGGGAAUAUUGCACAAUGGAGGGAACUCUGAUGCAGCGACGCCGCGUGAACGAAGAAGGCUUUCGAGUCGUAAAGUUCUUUUAUAUGGGAAGAUAAUGACGGUACCAUAAGAAAAAGCCCCGGCUAACUACGUGCCAGCAGCCGCGGUAAUACGUAGGGGGCUAGCGUUGUCCGGAAUCACUGGGCGUAAAGUGUUCGCAGGCGGAAAUGCAAGUCAGGUGUAAAAGGCAGUAGCUUAACUACUGUAAGCAUUUGAAACAGCAUAUCUUGAGAAGAGUAGAGGUAAGUGGAAUUUUUAGUGUAGCGGUGAAAUGCGUAGAUAUUAAAAAGAAUACCGGUGGCGAAGGCGAGUUACUGGGCUCAAUCUGACGCAGAGGAACGAAAGCGUGGGUAGCAAACAAG